rnacentral:rRNA from 1 species
ACGUAGGGGACGAGCGUUGUCCGGAUUUACUGGGCGUAAAGGGCGCGUAGGCGGUCAUUUAAGUCAGCUGUGAAAUGGUUUGGCUUAACCGGAUCAUGCGGUUGAAACUGGAUGACUGGAGUGCUGGAGAGGAAAGUGGAAUUCCCAGUGGAGCGGUGAAAGGAGAAGAUAAAGGGAAGAAGACAGGAGGCGAAGGCGACAAGCUGGAAAGAAAAUGACACUGAGGAAAGAAAGAAAGGGGAGAAAAAAG